AUUGAACGCUGGCGGCAGGCCUAAUACAUGCAAGUCGAACGAGUGGCGGACGGGUGAGUCAUGUCUGGGAAACUGCCCGAUGGCGGGGGAUAACUACUGGAAACGGUAGCUAAUACCGCAUACCAUCGGAUGUGCCCAGAUGGGAUUAGCUAGUAGGUGGGGUAAUGGCUCACCUAGGCGACGAUCCCUAGCUGGUCUGAGAGGAUGACCAGCCACACUGGAACUGAGACACGGUCCAGACUCCUACGGGAGGCAGCAGUGGGGAAGAUUGCGCAAUGGGCGUAAGCCUGAUGCAGCCAUGCCGCGUGUAUGAAGAAGGCCUUCGGGUUGUAAAGUACUUUCAGCGGGGAGGCGGUACCCGCAGAAAAAGCACCGGCUAACUCCGUGCCAGCAGCCGCGGUAAUUC
rnacentral:rRNA from 1 species